GUGUGUGUGUGUGUGCAUAUGUAUAAUUGUGUAUAUAUGUGCACAUAUGUGUUGUUUGUAUGCGUAUGUAUGGGUGCCUGUGGAUGCAUAUGUGCAUGUGUUUGGGUAUAUGUAUGUGUGUAUGC
rnacentral:miRNA from 1 species